UACGGGGGGGGCAAGCGUUGUUCGGAAUUACUGGGCGGAAAGGGCUCGUAGGCGGCCAACUAAGUCAUACGUGAAAUCCCUCGGCUUAACCGGGGAACUGCGUCUGAUACUGGAUGGCUUGAGAUUGGGAGAGGGAUGCGGAAUUCCAGGUGUAGCGGUGAAAUGCGUAGAUAUCUGGAGGAACACCGGUGGCGAAGGCGGCAUCCUGGACCAACACUGACGCUGAGGAGCGAAAGCCAGGGGAGCAAACGGG
rnacentral:rRNA from 1 species